rnacentral:rRNA from 1 species
GAGUUUGAUCCUGGCUCAGGGACGAACGCUGGCGGCGUGCUUAACACAUGCAAGUCGAACGGUGAUCUCGUAGCUUGCUGCGGGUGAUCAGUGGCGAACGGGUGAGUAACACGUGGGUAACCUGCCCUUGACUCAUGGAUAACGCUGGGAAACUGGUGCUAAUACAUGGUAUGACUCCUUGCCGCAUGGUGGGGGGUGGAAAGUUUUUCGGUUGGGGAUGGACUCGCGGCCUAUCAGCUUGUUGGUGGGGUAAUGGCCUACCAAGGCGACGACCGGGUUAGCCGGCCUGAGACGGGUGACCGGCCACACUGGGACUGAAUACACGGCCCAGACUCCUACGGGAGGCAGCAGUGGGGAAUAUUGCACAAUGGGCGAAAGACCCUGUAUAGCA